rnacentral:rRNA from 1 species
UGCGUAGGUGGCGUCGUAAGUCGGGUGUGAAAUCUCGGGGCUUAACUCCGAAACUGCAUUCGAUACUGCGGUGCUUGAGGACUGGAGAGGAGACUGGAAUUUACGGUGUAGCAGUGAAAUGCGUAGAGAUCGUAAGGAAGACCAGUGGCGAAGGCGGGUCUCUGGACAGUUCCUGACACUGAGGCACGAAGGCCAGGGGAGCGAAAC